GAGACGUUGCCCUUCGGGGUAUACCUCCCACCCAUUGUUUAUUAUACCUUUGUUGCUUUGGCAGACCCGGCUUCGGCCCACCGGCUCCGGCUGGUCAGUGUCUGCCAGAGGAAACAAACUCUGUUUUUAGUGAUGUCUGAGUACUAUAUAAUAGUUAAAACUUUCAACAACGGAUCUCUUGGUUCU
rnacentral:misc_RNA from 1 species